UGGCUCAGAACGAACGCUGGCGGCAUGCUUUACACAUGCAAGUCGAACGGUAACAGGCCGCAAGGUGCUGACGAGUGGCGAACGGGUGAGUAAUGCAUCGGAACGUGCCCAGUCGUGGGGGAUAACGCAGCGAAAGCUGUGCUAAUACCGCAUACGAUCUAUGGAUGAAAGCGGGGGACCGUAAGGCCUCGCGCGAUUGGAGCGGCCGAUGUCAGAUUAGGUAGUUGGUGGGGUAAAGGCCCACCAAGCCAACGAUCUGUAGCUGAGCUGAGAGGACGACCAGCCACACUGGGACUGAGACACGGCCCAGAUUUCUACGGGAGGCAGAAGUGGG
rnacentral:rRNA from 1 species